rnacentral:tRNA from 1 species
GGCCUCGUCGCCAAGUGGUAAGGCAACGGUUUGCAAAACCGUCACCCCCGGUUCAAAUCCGGGCGAGGCCU